GAUGAACGCUGGCGGCGUGCCUAAUACAUGCAAGUCGAGCGAACAGAUAAGGAGCUUGCUCCUUUGACGUUAGCGGCGGACGGGUGAGUAACACGUGGGUAACCUACCUAUAAGACUGGGAUAACCUCGGGAAACCGGAGCUAAUACCGGAUAAUAUUUCGAACCGCAUGGUUCGAUAGUGGAAGAUGGUUUUGCUAUCACUUAUAGAUGGACCCGCGCCGUAUUAGCUAGUUGGUAAGGUAACGGCUUACCAAGGCGACGAUACGUAGCCGACCUGAGAGGGUGAUCGGCCACACUGGAACUGAGACACGGUCCAGACUCCUACGGGAGGCAGCAGUAGGGAAUCUUCCGCAAUGGGCGAAAGCCUGACGGAGCAACGCCGCGUGAGUGAUGAAGGUCUUCGGAUCGUAAAACUCUGUUGUUAGGGAAGAACAUACGUGUAAGUAACUGUGCACGUCUUGACGGUACCUAAUCAGAAAGCCACGGCUAACUACGUG
rnacentral:rRNA from 1 species